AUUUAGAGGAAGUAAAAGUCGUAACAAGGUCUCCGUUGGUGAACCAGCGGAGGGAUCAUUACCGAGUUUACAACUCCCAAACCCCUGUGAACAUACCAAUUGUUGCCUCGGCGGAUCAGCCCGCUCCCGGUAAAACGGGACGGCCCGCCAGAGGACCCCUAAACUCUGUUUCUAUAUGUAACUUCUGAGUAAAACCAUAAAUAAAUCAAAACUUUCAACAACGGAUCUCUUGGUUCUGGCAUCGAUGAAGAACGCAGCAAAAUGCGAUAAGUAAUGUGAAUUGCAGAAUUCAGUGAAUCAUCGAAUCUUUGAACGCACAUUGCACCCGCCAGUAUUCUGGCGGGCAUGCCUGUUCGAGCGUCAUUUCAACCCUCAAGCUCAGCUUGGUGUUGGGACUCGCGGUAACCCGCGUUCCCCAAAUCGAUUGGCGGUCACGUCGAGCUUCCAUAGCGUAGUAAUCAUACACCUCGUUACUGGUAAUCGUCGCGGCCACGCCGUAAAACCCCAACUUCUGAAUGUUGACCUCGGAUCAGGUAGGAAUACCCGCUGAACUUAAGCAUAUCAAUAAG
rnacentral:rRNA from 1 species